AUGUUAAACUUGCAUCGCACCGUUGAGGUUUUGGAUGAUGCCUUACACUGGUUGGAGCAAACGGAAGAACCUGACGUACGCACUCGCCUGAUGGAUCUCGGCCACGGACACACCUGCUUCACAGCUCUUCACUUUAUCUUCACAGAGUGUAGGUUACAGUCAUGCUCAGCGCUCUGCUUUCAUCCACUCACUCUUCUCGUCAUUCAUGUGAAGCUAUUGAUUCUUGUUUUGUUUAGUUGCCAAGUAUAUUCAAGACAUGGGAGGACGCCAUGAAAAGACCAUGAAGUCACUGAUGGCUAAACCUGGAAGUUAUUCUAUAGAAUAAAUAAUAUAAUAUUAUAUUUAUAUAAUAAUAU
rnacentral:lncRNA from 1 species